rnacentral:misc_RNA from 1 species
CAGGAAUCGCAAGAUCUCCCUGCAACCCUCGUGAACCUACCGAAACGUUGCCUCGGCGGGCGCUUCUGCUCCCGCCGGCGGCCUUCAACUCUGUCUCUAGUGGCCUCUCUGAGUCUUUGAGAAAUCUAUUA